CCCUUAGAUGCUCUGGGCCGCACGCGCGCUACACUGGUCGAUGCAACGAGUUUCUUUCCUUGGCCGACAGGCCUGGGCAAUCUUUGAACAUCGAUCGUGAUCGGGAUAGAUUCUUGUAAUUUUUGAUCUUAAACGAGGAAUUCCUAGUAAACGCAAGUCAUCAGCUUGCAUUGAUUACGUCCCUGCCCUUUGUACACACCGCCCGUCGCACCUACCGAUUGAACGGUCCGGUGAAAUCUCCGGACUGGCGUGAGUCGGAGCAAUCUGACAAACGCCGGAAAGUUGAUUAAACCUUACCAUUUAGAGGAAGGUGAAGUCGUAACA
rnacentral:rRNA from 1 species